UGGCCCGUUUUGGCACUAGCACAUUUUUGCUUUGGUCUCUCUGCGUUGAGCAAUUAUGUGUAGUGCCAAUAUGGGAGG
rnacentral:pre_miRNA from 1 species